UACAGAGGGUGCAAGCGUUGCUCGGAAUUAUUGGGCGUAAAGGGUAGGUAGGUGGUCUCAUUUGUCUGGGGGUGAAAGCCUUGAGCUUAACUCAAGAAGUGCCCUGGAAACGGUGAGACUAGAGUUCGGAAGAGGCGAGUGGAAUUCCCGGUGUAGCGGUGAAAUGCGCAGAUAUCGGGAGGAACACCUAUGGCGAAGGCAGCUCGCUGGGACGUUACUGACGCUGAGACGCGAAAGCGUGGGGGAGCAAACAGG
rnacentral:rRNA from 1 species